rnacentral:lncRNA from 1 species
UAAAUCACACUGCUGGAUUGCCUUCUUAGUUGGCUAAGAAAGGCUUGGGGGGGAUUUCUUGUUGCAGUUAUUGGAGCUGCAGUUUAGGCAGCUGCUUGGUGCUGCUGGAUCGGUCUUGGGCGAGGCACUACUAUGUCUCAGUGGAACUGCUAUCUGCUGUUUGGGCGAGCUGCUAUGGUCUUUGGGCGAGCCUUAGAUUUAAGUUGCUGCUAUUGGGCGAGGAACUGCUAUUGGGCAAGGCACUACUAUUGGGCGAGGAGACUUAGAUUUAAGCUGCUGCUUCUUCUUGCUGUUUGGGCUAGCUGCUGGAUCAGGGGCGAGCUGCUGCUUCUUCGGUGCUUCUUCACCUGGUACAUGAGUUGGUCUUGCUAUGGACUGAUGUUGCUAUACCUCGCUCCUGAAAUUGGGCUGGUAACUUUUGGUUUCACGGUCGGUGGACUGCUAUCCUUGCUUAGCUAAGCAAGGCUUAGGGGAUUUCACUACAUUUCCUUGUGCUCCUGUUGCCACUACUAGUGCUUAAGAUCCGUCUCCUUGCUAAUGGUCUGAAAUGUUAUUUUUACUUAAAAGAGAGUUUGUUGGACUUUGUUUUGUAUUUUAUAGUUAGCGUUUCUUGUCACAUCUUCAUUGGGCUUUGUAAUCUUUUAUCGUUGUGACAUCAUAGGGCAUGUCCUAUGAUAUCUAUGCUAUAUUCUGAUUGGGGUUUCCCAUGAGGCUUGUAAUCUCUUUUAUUUUUUUAAUUCAAUCUAAAUUUAGCAAAAAAAAAAGUUCUCGAACCCUGCUUAUUUGUUAAACAAGAUUCCUAUCUUGAUUUGCUUUUAAUAUGUUAUACCAAACCUAAACUUGAUUGCC